UACGUAGGUGACAAGCGUUGUCCGGAUUUACUGGGCGUAAAGAGCGCGCAGGCGGUCUGUCAAGUCGGGUGUGAAAGCCCCCGGCUCAACUGGGGAGGGUCAUUCGAUACUGAUCGACUCGAAGGCAGGAGAGGGUAGUGGAAUUCCCGGUGUAGUGGUGAAAUGCGUAGAUAUCGGGAGGAACACCAGUGGCGAAGGCGACUACCUGGCCUGUUCUUGACGCUGAGGCGCGAAAGCUAGGGGAGCAAACGGG
rnacentral:rRNA from 1 species